GGUCACCAAGGGCGGAUUCGUGCUAAAAAGCAAGAAAAACGUACACUAAGAUGAUCUGAGAGGCUCAGUCAGAGCCUUUACUUUUUAAAGAACGGAAUGAUUGGAGAUCAGUGGCACUAAU
rnacentral:lncRNA from 1 species